GAUAAACGCUCGCGGCGUGCUUAACACAUGCAAGUCGAACGAAGUUUUUCCUUCGGGAGACACUUAGUGGCGGACGGGUGAGUAACGCGUGGGUAACCUGCCCUGUACAGGGGGACAACAGCUGGAAACGGCUGCUAAUACCGCAUAAGCCCUUAGCACUGCAUGGUGCAUAGGGAAAAGGAGCAAUCCGGUACAGGAUGGACUCGCGUCUGAUUAGCCAGUUGGCAGGGUAACGGCCUACCAAAGCGACGAUCAGUAGCCGAUCUGAGAGGAUGUACGGCCACAUUGGGACUGAGACACGGCCCAGACUCCUACGGGAGGCAGCAGUGGGGAAUAUUGCACAAUGGAGGAAACUCUGAUGCAGCGACGCCGCGUGAGUGAAGAAGUAUUUCGGUAUGUAAAGCUAUAUCAGCAGGGAAGAAAAUGACGGUACCUGACUAAGAAGCACCGGCUAAAUACGUG
rnacentral:rRNA from 1 species